UGCCAGCCGCCGCGGUAACACGAACUGCGCGAACGUUAUUCGGAAUCACUGGGCUUAAAGGGUGCGCAGGCGGCUUUUUAAGACAGGUGUGAAAUCCCCGGGCUUAACCUGGGAAUGGCGCUUGUGACUGGAAGGCUAGAGUGCGGCAGAGGGGGAUGGAAUUCCUGGUGUAGCAGUGAAAUGCGUAGAUAUCAGGAGGAACACCGAUGGCGAAGGCAGUCCCCUGGGUCGACACUGACGCUCAGGCACGAAAGCGUGGGGAGCAAACAGGAUUAGAUA
rnacentral:rRNA from 1 species